rnacentral:pre_miRNA from 1 species
GGAGUCUGGUUCAACAUGACUCAGACCUCAGCUAAAGAAGCUGAUGGACUGAGUCAGGGCCACACUACCC